rnacentral:rRNA from 1 species
CGCAUCUGUGCAUGCAGCAUAUCAAUAAGCGGAGGAAAAGAAACUAACAAGGAUUCCCUUAGUAACGGCGAGUGAAGCGGGAAGAGCUCAAAUUUGAAAUCUUCAAGGUUUUACCUUGACGAAUUGUAGUUUAAAGAAGUGUUUUCUGUUGAAGUUUUGGUAAAAGUUCUUUGGAAUAGGACAUCAUAGAGGGUGAGAAUCCCGUAUUUGACCAUUAUUUUCAGCUGUGUGAUACACUUUCAAAGAGUCGGAUUGUUUGGGAAUGCAAGUCCAAAAUGGGUGGUAAAUUUCAUCUAAAGCUAAAUAUUGGCGAGAGACCGAUAGCGAACAAGUACCGUGAGGGAAAGAUGAAAAGAACUUUGAAAAGAGAGUUAAACAGUACGUGAAAUUGUCAAAAGGGAAGCGUUUGACACCAGUGUUGUUUUCUCGAAAAUCAAUUAAAAAGAGUUAGAUUUUGUUGUGUAUUGACCUUAACAGCUUGCAUUUCAAUUUUCUUGCUUUUUUUAAUGCACUUUUCGUUUAACAAGUCAACAUCAGUUUCUUUUGUUGUAAAAAGGUCAUUGGAAGGUGGCUUUCUUCUCGGAGAAAGUGUUUAUAGCCUUUGACUCCUGCAAUCGGAGAGACUGAGGUCUGCAGCGUAGAUCCUUCGGGGUUAGAUACAUUUGUGCUAAGUUAUAGCUUUUCAUAGACAACUUGUUGACUAUGAUUUAGUCAUGUAGCUUACUCGCUUAUGCUAUUUUACCUACGCUUAGGAUGUUGAUCUGUAGUGCGUGCGC